AAUCAACGCUGGCGGCGUGCCUCAGACAUGCAAGUCGAACGAGAAAGUCCCCUUCGGGGGAUAAGUAAAGUGGCGCACGGGUGAGUAACACGUAGGUAAUCUACCUUCGGGUGGGGAAUAACCCAGGGAAACUUGGGCUAACACCGCAUAAUGCAGCGGCACCACAUGGUGACAGUUGUUAAAGCGGGGGGUAUUUUAGGACCUCGCGCCUGAAGAGGAGCCUGCGGCGGAUUAGCUAGUUGGUAAGGAACGGCUUACCAAGGCAACGAUCCGUAGCCGGCCUGAGAGGGCGGUCGGCCACACUGACACUGACA
rnacentral:rRNA from 1 species